rnacentral:tRNA from 1 species
GAAUACGAAGCGAUAAAUUGCAAUUAGUUUCGACCUAAUUUUAGGUGUUAAAUGCAUCCUUAUUCU